UGGGGAAUAUUGCACAAUGGGCGAAAGCCUGAUGCAGCGACGCCGCGUGAGGGAUGACGGCCUUCGGGUUGUAAACCUCUUUCGCUCAUGGUCAAGCCGCAACUUUAGGUUGUGGUGAGGGUAGUGGGUAAAGAAGCGCCGGCUAACUACGUGCCAGCAGCCGCGGUAAUACGUAGGGCGCGAGCGUUGUCCGGAAUUAUUGGGCGUAAAGGGCUUGUAGGCGGUUGGUCGCGUCUGCCGUGAAAUCCUCUGGCUUAACUGGGGGCGUGCGGUGGGUACGGGCUGACUUGAGUGCGGUAGGGGAGACUGGAACUCCUGGUGUAGCGGUGGAAUGCGCAGAUAUCAGGAAGAACACCGGUGGCGAAGGCGGGUCUCUGGGCCGUUACUGACGCUGAGGAGCGAAAGCGUGGGGAGCGAACAGG
rnacentral:rRNA from 1 species